rnacentral:rRNA from 1 species
UGGGGAAUAUUGGACAAUGGGCGCAAGCCUGAUCCAGCCAUGCCGCGUGAGUGAUGAAGGCCCUAGGGUUGUAAAGCUCUUUCACCGGUGAAGAUAAUGACGGUAACAGGAGAAGAAGCCCCGGCUAACUUCGUGCCAGCAGCCGCGGUAAUACGAAGGGGGCUAGCGUUGUUCGGAGUUACUGGGCGUAAAGCGCACGUAGGCGGACUUUUAAGUCAGGGGUGAAAUCCCGGGGCUCAACCCCGGAACUGCCUUUGAUACUGGAAGUCUUGAGUAUGGUAGAGGUGAGUGGAAUUCCGAGUGUAGAGGUGAAAUUCGUAGAUAUUCGGAGGAACACCAGUGGCGAAGGCGGCUCACUGGACCAUUACUGACGCUGAGGUGCGAAAGCGUGGGGAGCAAACAGG